rnacentral:rRNA from 1 species
UACGUAGGGGGCAAGCGUUGUCCGGAAUCAUUGGGCGUAAAGAGCGUGUAGGCGGCCAGAUAAGUCCGCUGUGAAAACUCGAGGCUCAACUUCGAGCUGUCGGCGGAAACUAUCUGGCUAGAGUCCGGAAGAGGAGAGUGGAAUUCCUGGUGUAGCGGUGGAAUGCGCAGAUAUCAGGAGGAACACCAAUGGCGAAGGCAGCUCGCUGGGACGGUACUGACGCUAAGGCGCGAAAGCGUGGGGAGCAAACAGG